GAACAGACAACAAAUGCUGCUGCGACAUGCAAGGCAGAUAUACUUUCUAAUGAAUGUCCAUUAACUGGUUUGAAAAAUAACCCAACCACAGAUGAGGAAAUUCAAGCUUCUUGCGGGAUCUUCAAGACAUAUUUCACCUGUGUUGAUACAGUAAUAUCAACUUGUUCUCAGACUGUCAGAGAUACCGUCGAAGCAAGACUAGAUCCAUAUAAGACCCAGUAUAAUGAAACAUGUGCCGUAGAGCAGACAACAUGCAAGGCAGAUAUACUUUCUGAUGAAUGUCCAUUAACUGGUUUGAAAAAUAACCCGACCACAGAUGAGGAAAUUCAAGCUUCUUGCGGGAUCUUCAAGACAUAUUUCACCUGUGUUGAUACAGUAAUAUCAACUUGUUCUCAGACUGUCAGAGAUACUGUCGAAGCAAGACUAGAUACAUAUAAAACCCAGUAUAAUGAGAUAUGUGCAGGUAUGGCGAUUAGUCCAUGGAAUACCGGUGUCUACCUUAUUAUUGCCUUGGUUAUUUUCACCUACGAUAGAUUUGUUUAAAUCGUCCCUGGAAAGAAAACGUCGUUGAUAUGUAUAAAGACAGCAACCCGAAUUUUAAAGUUGUGACAAUCAGACAUUC